rnacentral:misc_RNA from 1 species
GACCGAAAAGAAGACGAAUUGCCCGAGGAGGAAAUUGAAAAACAAGAGCAUUUUUUCAAGGAAGUGGCUGAAAAUGGGGCAGAUAAGGAAGCGAGAUGUCUCUGAAAAGCCCUUGUUGACGGCGGUUCGUACAGAGGCACCAUAAAAGUCAACAUUGAAUCGGAUGAUGGUUUCCGCUGAAGAUUCGGAUUUCAGGAAACUAAGCGUGUUGUGGGCGGUUUUUGGUCAGCAACCCGACGAAAAUCAAACAAAAACUAAGUAUGUAGAAAGCCUUUGAAUUGCUUAUUUGGACGAGAGUUCGAUUCUCUC